rnacentral:rRNA from 1 species
UACGUAGGGUGCAAGCGUUCUCCGGAAUUAUUGGGCGUAAAGAGCUCGUAGGCGGUUUGUCGCGUCUGCUGUGAAAACUGGAGGCUCAACCUCCAGCCUGCAGUGGGUACGGGCAGACUAGAGUGCGGUAGGGGAGAUUGGAAUUCCUGGUGUAGCGGUGGAAUGCGCAGAUAUCAGGAAGAACACCGAUGGCGAAGGCAGAUCUCUGGGCCGUAACUGACGCUGAGGAGCGAAAGCAUGGGGAGCGAACAGG